rnacentral:lncRNA from 1 species
AGGAAAGGUCAGAUUCGUGAUGUAUUCCCAAGGUGGUGGAAGACGAUUGCACCAGGAGAAAGAAGAGUUGGAUGGGAAGCAAGACUGCUGCUGGGAGGAGAGAAGAGGAAGUGAGGUUGGGGCCAACAGAGUAAACAUGGUGUCAGCCAACAUGACUAUUGCCUUGGAGUUUGUCCUUUUGGAAUGCUGCCCUUGCUGUGAAGAGCGA